UUAGGGUUUCGUUAAACGGUCGCCGCAUCGUAUUCUUGCCGCGAAGAUCUCCCGCGGGAGCAACUCUUUUGGGCCCUACGAGGUGGCGGUGGCGGUGGUCUAACCAUCCUUCUUCUUCCUUCCAGUUUAUUCUGUUUGUUCUUCUUCGAGGUCUUUGUUCCAAGGUUAAGGAUGAAGGCUGUCUGGCGGCGUCUGCAUAAACAUGACUAUCUCACCAAAUAUUUUGUCUGUUGAGCUCUUUUGUCUUCUACACCCAAGGGCUAUUGAUAGAUGUUCGUCUCAAAUUGUUGCAUCUAUAAAACAUUGUGGCUGUAAUGUUGAUCAAGCAACUUCCUUCUUUGCCUUUAGUUGAUUACUUGUUUUGGCAUGUCUGCUACAAGGUUAGCUGACCCUAACCUAUAACAACAAGAGGCAGCCUGUAUUAAGUGUGCAGUUGAACUGCUAUUUCCUUCUAGGUCUGUGUCCGUAUGUGUGUGGCAAUACACAUCUGCUUGUGUGAUUGUUGGAGGACAAGGGAGGGUUGGUGUUUUAUCUAACUCUAAAGAAGUUAAAAGCCAGUUAACAUGAAAGGCCAGAACAUUCUUAAAAGAAAGUGAACUCUUUUAGUUGUUUUUUGAAGUGAAAAAGUUCUUUUCUUUGCUUUGAUCUCAACUGGCAAUGAGGACACAAAGGCCGGACUUACAGCUGCUCUGGUUACAAACCUGUUGGUAGUAGAAUGAUGUGGCACUUUGUGAGGUGUAACUGAGUCAGUGGAGACAAAAUUGAGCUAUCAAUGUAAGCUCACCUUUUAAAUUGUUUGUGAGCACUUUACCUGAUUGCCUUUAAGAAAAGAUUCACUUAAUUAAUCUCCAAAUAUUUUAGAACUUAUGUUGCUGAGAAAUCAUCUAUUUAGCAAGUUUCAUUGAAGAUUUGAAGGCUUCUUCUUCUUUUUCUUCUUCCAAGACCUCAUUUAAUUGCAGGGGAAAAAGUCAGCAAAAACUAUUUUCUCCUUUUUUUGAUGUCCUGCAUGUUGAAUCAAAACAAGGAAGAAUUUUGUGAUGAAGAUUUCAAUUCCCUGAAAUCUGGUGAUUCUCGUCUCCACACAUGCACAUGUCAUGUUUGUCUGUGUGUGUAAUUGAUCAACCAAUGCCUUUGCGGUUGUCUCCCUUGUGCAGAUCACUGUAUAGGUUCCUGCCCUCUGAGUUCACACCUUCCUGCUUCACUAAUUAGCCACUUAGCUGCUGCUGCGGAACUCCUCCUCUGAUCGUAGUUAUGUCAAGGUCUCUCUCUCUCUCUCUCUCUCUUCCCCUGUUUGUGUCUGUUCUCCAGUUCCAUGGAAUUAGUCAUGACGCUGGGCCGUCCAAUGCCAAGGACAUAUCUAAACCUUAAGGAAUGUCAUCUCAUGAAGAGUUCAGGUCUGAAAGUACGUUUCAAGGUUGCGGAGGAGUGGGUGUGUGGAGUUAUGGAAGGCCAUGAUUGAGGUCAAUGAAGACAGUGUCUUUGCUGGGAUCCAGAUAGCAGAACCGAUAAAGGCAUCCCCAAUACUAGAUCCUCGAAAUAAGAGGGUUCAGGAUUUGAUCAACAUGUUAAGGGAAGAUCAAGGCUUUCUUGGCGAUGCACUCAGUUCACUGGAAUACGAGGGGUAUCCUAGAUUGAUGGCUGAUGAUAAGGCUGGGAAUUGAGAUUUAUUAAGGAGAAUGGACUCAGAAAAUAUUGAAAUUAACUGAUCAGUUGUACCUAUCCUUUGUUUUCCUGCAAAUAUAGUGAAGUAUCUUUGUUGGUUUUUGAGAUAGCCAAAUUUGGGGUAUUUGUUCUUUCUUUAUUCUUUUCCUGUAGAGUUUGAUAGAUGAUUGGCUAUCUUUGCCUAUUUCUCUACUCCAACCAUGAAGUACUAUUGUAAUGAGUCUUUUGGUUGAAUUUUAGGGAUACUCAAGACUAGACCUUGAGACGUUGCAUUGUACAGCUAAUUGAAUGUAAUUUUAGGUGUGUCUA